AUUGAACGCUGGCGGCAUGCUUUACACAUGCAAGUCGAACGGUAACAGGGAGCUUGCUCCGCUGACGAGUGGCGAACGGGUGAGUAAUGCAUCGGAACAUGCCCAGUCAUGGGGGAUAACUACGCGAAAGCGUAGCUAAUACCGCAUACGCCCUGAGGGGGAAAGUGGGGGAUCUUAGGACCUCACGUGAUUGGAGUGGCCGAUGUCAGAUUAGCUAGUUGGUGAGGUAAAGGCUCACCAAGGCGACGAUCUGUAGCGGGUCUGAGAGGAUGAUCCGCCACACUGGGACUGAGACACGGCCCAGACUCCUACGGGAGGCAGCAGUGGGGAAUUUUGGACAAUGGGCGAAAGCCUGAUCCAGCCAUUCCGCGUGCAGGAUGAAGGCCCUCGGGUUGUAAACUGCUUUUGUACGGAACGAAACGGCCUUUUCUAAUACAGAGGGCUAAUGACGGUACCGUAAGAAUAAGCACCGGCU
rnacentral:rRNA from 1 species